GAUGAAGAACGUAGUGAAAUGCGAUACGUAAUGUGAAUUGCAGAAUUCAGUGAAUCAUCGAGUCUUUGAACGCACAUUGCGCCCCCUGGUAUUCCGGGGGGCAUGCCUGUCCGAGCGUCAUUGCUGCCCUCAAGCACGGCUUGUGUGUUGGGCCUCCGUCCUCCUCCCGGGGGACGGGCCCGAAAGGCAGCGGCGGCACCGCGUCCGGUCCUCGAGCGUAUGGGGCUUCGUCACCCGCUCUUGUAGGCCCGGCCGGCGCUUGCGGACACAUCAAUCUUUUUUCCAGGUUGACCUCGGAUCAGGUAGGGAUACCCGCUGAACUUAAGCAUAUCAAUAAGCGGAGGA
rnacentral:misc_RNA from 1 species